rnacentral:sRNA from 1 species
GAACGAGCACAAUAUGAAAAACAAUUGGAGCAGUUAAACAAGGAUAAUAUGGCUUCACUAAAUAAGAAGGAACUCACACUUAAAGAUGUGGAAUGUAAAUUCUCAGAAAUGAAAACUGCUUAUGAAGAGGUUACAACCGAAUUAGAAGAAUAUAAGGAAGCCUUUGCAGCAGCAUUGAAAGAUAACAAUUCCAUGUCAAAAAAAUUAAUGAAAUCGAAUAAGAAAAUAGCAACGAUCAGCAUGGAGCUCCUUAUGGAGAAAGAGCGGAUGAAAUAUUUUCUCAGCACUCUUCCUACAAGGCGAGACCCAGAGUCACCUUGUGUUGAAAAUCUUACUAGUAUAGGACUCAACAGAAAAUAUGUUUUCCAAACACCCAUAAGAAUUCCUAUUUCAAGCCCACAGACUU